UACGUAGGGGGCAAGCGUUGUCCGGAUUUAUUGGGCGUAAAGAGCGUGUAGGCGGCUUGGUAGGUCUGCUGUGAAAACUCGAGGCUCAACCAUCGAGCUGUCGGCGGAAACCACUUGGCUAGAGUCCGGAAGAGGAGAGUGGAAUUCCUGGUGUAGCGGUGAAAUGCGCAGAUAUCAGGAAGAACACCUAUGGCGAAGGCAGCUCUCUGGGACGGUACUGACGCUGAGACGCGAAAGCGUGGGGAGCGAACAGG
rnacentral:rRNA from 1 species